CACGCUGUAAACGAUGAUCACUCGUUGUUUGCGAUACACCGCAAGUAACCAAGCGAAAGCGAUAAGUGAUCCACCUGGGGAGUACGUUCGCAAGAAUGAAACUCAAAGGAAUUGACGGGGGCCCGCACAAGCGGAGGAACAUGUGGUUUAAUUCGAUGAUACGCGAGGAACCUUACCUGGGUUUAAAUGGGGAGUGACAGCUGUCGAAAGAUGGCCUUCUUCGGACACUCUUCAAGGUGCUGCAUGGUUGUCGUCAGCUCGUGCCGUGAGGUGUCGGGUUAAGUCCCAUAACGAGCGCAACCCACGUCGUUAGUUGCCAACAGGUUAAGCUGGGAACUCUAACGAGACUGCCGGUGUAAACCGC
rnacentral:rRNA from 1 species